AGCCUUUUCUAACCCCCCAGACUGUGAGAUGGCCUCUCUGUGCUCCCGAGGUGCCUUGAACACACUCCUCUACAGUUCUUACCACCUGCUGAAAUUGUCUGCUUUUUUCACAGUGGUUGGCACCACGGUCUUUGGAGAAAGAUUGUCUGCAUGUCAGGACAAAGCAAAGAAGAAUUCAGCAACUGCUGCUUAAAAACUCAUUCACUACUUUAGAAAUCAAGACAAAGUGAAAGACAUGGAUGGAAUGAAUUCAGCCCUUCCUCCUAUUGUUUCUCUAGCAAGCAGGUGACCAAAGCUAUAAAUGUUUGUUUCCUGAAAACUAAAGUCCUGACUUGUCAUCUUCAUAGUGAAAAGAGCCUCAAAGAUGGGGUAAGAAGGUAUAUACUUCACUUUUAAGCACUCAUCCUAAGAAGAUUUAGGAAACCAAGCAAAUCCAUGGCAAAUUGAAGGCAGAU